CGCGUAGGUGGUUCGAUGAGUCGGAGGUGAAAUCCCUCGGCUCAACCGAGGACCCGCGUCCGAUACUGUCGAACUUGAGUGCAGGAGAGGAGAGCGGAAUUCCCAGUGUAGCGGUGAAAUGCGUAGAUAUUGGGAGGAACACCGGUGGCGAAGGCGGCUCUCUGGACUGUUACUGACACUGAGGCGCGAAAGCUAGGGGAGCAAACGGGAUUAGAUACCCCGGGUAGUCCUAGCCGUAAACGAUGGGCACUAGGUGUGGGAGGUAUCGACCCCCUCCGUGCCGCAGCUAACGCAUUAAGUGCCCCGCCUGGGGAGUACGGCCGCAAGGUUGAA
rnacentral:rRNA from 1 species